rnacentral:rRNA from 1 species
CCUACGGGGUGCAGCAGUGGGGAAUAUUGGACAAUGGGCGAAAGCCUGAUCCAGCCAUGCCGCGUGUGUGAAGAAGGCCUUCGGGUUGUAAAGCACUUUCAGUGGGGAAGAAAGCCUUGGGGCUAAUACCCUCGAGGAAGGACAUCACCCACAGAAGAAGCACCGGCUAACUCCGUGCCAGCAGCCGCGGUAAUACGGAGGGUGCGAGCGUUAAUCGGAAUUACUGGGCGUAAAGCGCGCGUAGGCGGUCUGAUAAGCCGGUUGUGAAAGCCCCGGGCUCAACCUGGGAACGGCAUCCGGAACUGUCAGGCUAGAGGGCAGGAGAGGAAGGUAGAAUUCCCGGUGUAGCGGUGAAAUGCGUAGAGAUCGGGAGGAAUACCAGUGGCGAAGGCGGCCUUCUGGACUGACACUGACGCUGAGGUGCGAAAGCGUGGGUAGCAAACAGGAUUAGAUACCCUAGUAGUC